UACGUAGGGCGCAAGCGUUAUCCGGAAUUAUUGGGCGUAAAGAGCUCGUAGGCGGUUUGUCGCGUCUGCCGUGAAAGUCCGGGCUCAACUCCGGAUCUGCGGUGGGUACGGGCAGACUAGAGUGAUGUAGGGGAGACUGGAAUUCCUGGUGUAGCGGUGAAAUGCGCAGAUAUCAGGAGGAACACCGAUGGCGAAGGCAGGUCUCUGGGCAUUAACUGACGCUGAGACGCGAAAGCGUGGGGAGCGAACCGG
rnacentral:rRNA from 1 species